GCGGACGUGGCGGAAUUGGCAGACGCGCCAGGUUUAGGUCCUGGUGCCCGAAAGGGCAUGGGGGUUCGAUUCCCCCCGUCCGCACGA
rnacentral:tRNA from 1 species